UACGUAGGGGGCGAGCGUUGUCCGGAUUUAUUGGGCGUAAAGAGCUCGUAGGCGGCUUGUCGCGUCGGCUGUGAAAACCUGGGGCUCAACCCCGGGCCUGCAGCCGAUACGGGUAAGCUAGAAUUCGGUAGGGGAGACUGGAAGUUCCUGGUGGUAGAGGUGAAAUUCGUAGAUAUUCGCAAGAACACCAGUGGCGAAGGCGACUCACUGGCCCGAGUACUGACGCUGAGGCACGAAAGCGUGGGAGCAAUG
rnacentral:rRNA from 1 species